AGGGAUAUAGCUCAGUGGUGGAGCAUAUGCUUAGCAUACUCAAGAUCCUGGGUUCAAUCCCCAGAACCUCCA
rnacentral:tRNA from 1 species